rnacentral:rRNA from 1 species
UGCGCAGGUGGCCAAGUGUGUGAGGCGUGAAAGCCUGGAGCUUAACUCCAGAAUUGCACCUCAAACUACAUGGCUAGAGCAUUGGAGAGGGUAGCAGAAUUCAUGGUGUAGCAGUGAAAUGCGUAGAUAUCAUGAGGAAUACCAGAGGCGAAGGCGGCUACCUGGACAAUUGCUGACACUCAGGCACGAAAGCGUGGGGAGCAAAAGGGAUUAGAUACCCCUGUAGUCCACGCCCUAAACGGUGCACACUAGGUCUUGGCGGAUUCGACCCCCCCAGGGCCCAAGCUAACGCGUUAAGUGUGCCGCCUGAGGACUACGGCCGCAAGGCUAAA